UCGACGGAGUGAAAUGCUUGCAUCUGAACUUAGUGGCGGACGGGUGAGUAACACGUGAGCAACCUGCCUUUCAGAGGGGGAUAACGUUUGGAAACGAACGCUAAUACCGCAUAAAAUAUCGGAGUCGCAUGGCACUGAUAUCAAAGGAGCAAUCCGCUGAAAGAUGGGCUCGCGUCCGAUUAGGCAGUUGGCGGGGUAACGGCCCACCGAACCGACAAUCGGUAGCCGGACUGAGAGGUUGAACGGCCACAUUGGGACUGCGACACGGCCCAGACUCCUACGGGAGGCAGCAGUGGGGGAUAUUGCACAAUGGGGGAAACCCUGAUGCAGCGAUGCCGCGUGAAUGAAGACGGCCUUCGGGUUGUAAAGUUCUGUCGCAGGGGACGAAAAUGACGGUACCCUGCAAGAAAGCUCCGGCUAACUACGUGCCAGCAGCCGCGGUAAUACGUAGGGAGCAAGCGUUGUCCGGAAUUACUGGGUGUAAAGGGAGCGUAGGCGGGAGGAUAAGUUGAAUGUGAAAUCUAUGGGCUCAACCCAUAGCUGCGUUCAAAACUGUUCUUCUUGAGUGAAGUAGAGGCAGGCGGAAUUCCUAGUGUAGCGGUGAAAUGCGUAGAUAUUAGGAGGAACACCAGUGGCGAAGGCGGCCUGCUGGGCUUUUACUGACGCUGAGGCUCGAAAGCGUGGGUAGCAAACAGGAUUAGAUACCCUGGUAGUCCACGCGGUAAACGAUGAUUACUAGGUGUGGGUGGACUGACCCCAUCCGUGCCGGAGUUAACACAAUAAGUAAUCCACCUGGGGAGUACGGCCGCAAGGUUGAAACUCAAAGGAAUUGACGGGGGCCCGCACAAGCAGUGGAGUAUGUGGUUUAAUUCGACGNCACGCGAAGAACCUUACCAGGCNU
rnacentral:rRNA from 1 species